CCCGUACACAAAAAUGCACAUGCUGUGAGCUCGAUGAGUAGGGCGGGACACGUGGUAUCCUGUCUGAAUAUGGGGGGACCAUCCUCCAAGGCUAAAUACUCCUGACUGACCGAUAGUGAACCAGUACCGUGAGGGAAAGGCGAAAAGAACCCCGGCGAGGGGAGUGAAAAAGAACCUGAAACCGUGUACGUACAAGCAGUGGGAGCACGCUUAGGCGUGUGACUGCGUACCUUUUGUAUAAUGGGUCAGCGACUUAUAUUCUGUAGCAAGGUUAACCGAAUAGGGGAGCCGAAGGGAAACCGAGUCUUAACUGGGCGUUAAGUUGCAGGGUAUAGACCCGAAACCCGGUGAUCUAGCCAUGGGCAGGUUGAAGGUUGGGUAACACUAACUGGAGGACCGAACCGACUAAUGUUGAAAAAUUAGCGGAUGACUUGUGGCUGGGGGUGAAAGGCCAAUCAAACCGGGAGAUAGCUGGUUCUCCCCGAAAGCU
rnacentral:rRNA from 1 species